CUGAACUCAGAUCAUGUAAUCUACCUCCAUAAAAUAAGUAAUAACUAUUGAAUCCUGUUCCACCUGUCUUCGGUUGGGGCGACCACGGGGAAUAAAAAAUCCCCCAUGUGGACCAGGAGCACAUACUCCUACAACCAUGAGCCACAGCUCUAAUGCACAAAACAUUUGACCAUUAGAUCCGGCAAAGCCGAUUAACGGACCAAGUUACCCUAGGGAUAACAGCGCAAUCCCCUUUAAGAGUUCAUAUCGACAAGGGGGUUUACGACCUCGAUGUUGGAUCAAGACAUCCUAAUGGUGCAGCCGCUAUUAAGGGUUCGUUUGUUCAACGAUUAAAGUCUUACAUGAUCUGAGUUCCUGUCUCUUAUA
rnacentral:rRNA from 1 species